rnacentral:rRNA from 1 species
AAUCAACGCUGGCGGCGUGCCUAACACAUGCAAGUCGAACGAGAAGGUGACUUCGGUCACUGGAUAGUGGCGUCCGGGUGAGUAACACGUAGGUAAUCUACCUUCGGGUGGGGAAUAACGUCUCGAAAGAGACGCUAAUACCGCAUAAUGCAGCGGCACCUAAUGGUGAUUAGUUGUUAAAGCGGGGGAGUCUUCGGUACCUCGCGCCUGAAGAGGAGCCUGCGGCAGAUUAGCUAGUUGGUGAGGUAAUGGCUCACCAAGGCUUCGAUCUGUAGCUGGUCUGAGAGGACGGCCAGCCACACUGGCACUGACACACGGGCCAGACUCCUACGGGAGGCAGCAGUGGGGAA